ensembl:lncRNA
GGAAGAAGGCGAGCUGGCGGAGGGAGUGUGAUGCUCUGAGCAAUGUUCUGCUGGGAAACCUUGGGUCCUGGCGUCCAUGUGGAUGUUCCUUUGACACGUCCCACCUACCUAAACACUGUUCCAGACCAAGUACACCCCUUCAUGGUAACGGUAUUCCCUAACGUCAGUCGCCUCUCUCAGCAGGAUAAUGCUCCCUGACACACUGCAAAAACUGUUCAGGAACGGUUUGAGGAACCUGACAAACAGUUCAAGGUGUUGAUUCGGCCUCCAAAUUCCCCAGAUCUCAAUCCGAUCGAGUCUCUGUGGGAUGUUCUGGACCAACUAGUCCGAUCCAUGGAGGUCCCAGCUCACAACUUUCAGGACUUAAAGGAUCCACUGUAACGUCUCGGUGCCAGAUACCUUCACACCUUCAGAGGUCUUGUGGAGUCCAUUCCUUCGAUGAGUCAGAACUAUUUUGGUGUCACAAGGUGAGGGGGACCUACACAAUAUUAGGCAGGUGGUUUUAAUGUUAUGGCAGAUGCAUAUAAUUUUUCAUUAUAUUUACGAUUAUUUAUUAUUAUAUUAUAUAUUAGUUCAUGUAAUAGUGUUAAUAUUAUUAGUUUUACAUCCAGGUGUGUUUUUGUCGCUGGACGUGUGGGAACACUGUUGCGAGGCAACUGAAAAUCAAGAUGGAUGCCAAGCAACUAGCUAACAGCUGAGGCUAACGUUUUCUUUAGAGAGCAAGUGGAAACGUGCUGCUGUCAUGUCUGAUUGGAGUCGUGUCAUGGAAAAAGAUCUCUCUCUCUCUCUCUCUCUGGUGCGUUUGCAUCACAACAAAGUGGAGAGCUGCACGCGAGUGACGAUGAUUCCCCGUCACGCAGUCUGUUUGCCAUGGAGAUUAGAGGACGGACGCAGAAACGAG